rnacentral:rRNA from 1 species
AAGACCUUGCGCUUUUGGAGCGGCCGAUGCCUGAUUAGCUUGUUGGUAAGGUAAAAGCUUACCAAGGCUCCGAUCAGUAGCUGGUCUGAGAGGACGACCAGCCACACUGGGACUGAGACACGGCCCAGACUCCUACGGGAGGCAGCAGUGGGGAAUUUUGGACAAUGGGGGCAACCCUGAUCCAGCCAUGCCGCGUGAGUGAAGAAGGCCUUCGGGUUGUAAAGCUCUUUCAGCCGGAACGAAACGGUUACGGUUAAUACCCGUGAUUACUGACGGUACCGGAAGAAGAAGCACCGGCUAACUACGUGCCAGCAGCCGCGGUAAUACGUAGGGUGCGAGCGUUAAUCGGAAUUACUGGGCGUAAAGCGUGCGCAGGUGGUUUUGUAAGUCAGAUGUGAAAGCCCCGGGCUCAACCUGGGAAUU